rnacentral:rRNA from 1 species
AGAGUUUGAUCCUGGCUCAGAUUGAACGCUGGCGGCAUGCUUUACACAUGCAAGUCGGACGGCAGCACAGAGAAGCUUGCUUCUUGGGUGGCGAGUGGCGAACGGGUGAGUAAUAUAUCGGAACGUACCGAGUAAUGGGGGAUAACUAAUCGAAAGAUUAGCUAAUACCGCAUAUUCUCUGAGGAGGAAAGCAGGGGACCUUCGGGCCUUGCGUUAUUCGAGCGGCCGAUAUCUGAUUAGCUAGUUGGUGGGGUAAAGGCCUACCAAGGCGACGAUCAGUAGCGGGUCUGAGAGGAUGAUCCGCCACACUGGGACUGAGACACGGCCCAGACUCCUACGGGAGGCAGCAGUGGGGAAUUUUGGACAAUGGGCGCAAGCCUGAUCCAGCCAUGCCGCGUGUCUGAAGAAGGCCUUCGGGUUGUAAAGGACUUUUGUCAGGGAAGAAAAGGCUGUUGCUAAUAUCAAUAGCUGAUGACGGUACCUGAAGAAUAAGCACCGGCUAACUACGUGCCAGCAGCCGCGGUAAUACGUAGGGUGCGAGCGUUAAUCGGAAUUACUGGGCGUAAAGCGAGCGCAGACGGUUACUUAAGCAGGAUGUGAAAUCCCCGGGCUCAACCUGGGAACUGCGUUCUGAACUGGGUGACUAGAGUGUGUCAGAGGGAGGUAGAAUUCCACGUGUAGCAGUGAAAUGCGUAGAGAUGUGGAGGAAUACCGAUGGCGAAGGCAGCCUCCUGGGAUAACACUGACGUUCAUGCUCGAAAGCGUGGGUAGCAAACAGGAUUAGAUACCCUGGUAGUCCACGCCCUAAACGAUGUCAAUUAGCUGUUGGGCAACUUGAUUGCUUAGUAGCGUAGCUAACGCGUGAAAUUGACCGCCUGGGGAGUACGGUCGCAAGAUUAAAACUCAAAGGAAUUGACGGGGACC